AUUGAACGCUGGCGGCAUGCCUUACACAUGCAAGUCGAACGGUAACAGGUCUUCGGAUGCUGACGAGUGGCGAACGGGUGAGUAAUACAUCGGAACGUGCCCGAGAGUGGGGGAUAACGAAGCGAAAGCUUUGCUAAUACCGCAUACGAUCUCAGGAUGAAAGCAGGGGGCCGCAAGGCCUUGCGCUCACGGAGCGGCCGAUGGCAGAUUAGGUAGUUGGUGGGAUAAAAGCUUACCAAGCCGACGAUCUGUAGCUGGUCUGAGAGGACGACCAGCCACACUGGGACUGAGACACGGCCCAGACUCCUACGGGAGGCAGCAGUGGGGAAUUUUGGACAAUGGGCGCAAGCCUGAUCCAGCCAUGCCGCGUGCAGGAUGAAGGCCUUCGGGUUGUAAACUGCUUUUGUACGGAACGAAAAGACUCCUUCUAAUAAAGGGGGUCCAUGACGGUACCGUAAGAAUAAGCACCGGCUAACUACGUGCCAGCCGCCGCGGUAAAAC
rnacentral:rRNA from 1 species